AGAGACCGGAGGAAGCCAAAACCAUGUAGUACCCUUGGAGCUGGGGGAUAAGGGCCCAGAUAUAUAGUUAUUUUGCUGGGGUACAAACCAGCGACCUUCUGAUAACAGAAGAUCCUUCUGUCCCGUUCAGGAUUGUGGGGUUCUGGAACCAAUGGGUGCCAGGCAGCUGACAUCUCUGGAUGGGGCGCCAACCAAUCACAGGACACACUCACACGUCAAUCAGUCGCGCAUCCACACCUACGGGUGUGGUAACUCCAGUUAACCUCAGCAUGUUUUUUAUGAUUGUGAUGGAAAACCAGAGUACCGGGAUGAAAUGAGGAAAACAGGCAAAUUCCAGGCACACGGAGCUAUGGCACCAAUUCGAACCCUAGUCCCAGUUGUAUGAGGUUACGGUGCUAACUACUGCACCGCCAUACCACCCCUGCUGUAAAAUCAGGGGAUUUGGUAGUUCAUUAAACCCGCUUAAUAUUCUUGGAGAUUUUGUAGAAUCAGGUGAUGCGUCAUGUCUAGUUUCUAAUGUGAACUGGAGCAUGAGACGGAGACACAAAUAUGACUUUUAAUCACUAAUAAUCGUUCUCCAGGAAAAAAAAAAAGAAAAGAAAAGACACCUGGCCUACAUCGUAGGUUUCCAGCCUGGAACAACACUGCAAGUCAUGUGACGUUUGCAUAUGGUUCCGCAACAGCAGCAUUAUGGGAAACGUGGUCUCGUUGUCAUGCAACUAAAUGGACACACUUCAUGGAUGAUCUGAAACGUCACAGAUCCGGUGAACAGGAACCCAGCACCCAAAUGCUCGACCUGGCCUCCAUACGCAUCUAUAUGUGUCUCACCCCGCAUCUGUAACCCCCCCCCACCUUGACCCAAAAAUAAAUACGAGGUCUCAACACAGGUCAAACAGCAAUGGCCUGAGGAGAGGAGGCUGGCCAGCAAUCAUGGAGGCUGCACACAGCUCGGUCCCAGCAGAACCCUGGGAGCGAAACGUUGAUGUGUCAUAGAAAGUAACAGUCAUUAGAGGAAAAGGUCUAUUUCCCUUUCGGCUGGUGGGAGGUGCUGCACGCUGCUAAAGAGAAGGGCACUAUGGAACUCCGCUGUGUGACCUGCAGAACAAAAACACACACAGACCUAAUAAAACCCAAACACAAUGCAGAGAGCGACCGCGGCUAGACAAGCAGGUGAGGCUCAUGGGAGUUUUACUUACACAGAACGAAAGAAUGAUUGGUUCAGAGAUAUAACCAGUCAGAUUGUAGAGGAGGUAGGUCCGAGCAAGU